rfam:Purpureocillium lilacinum isolate PLFJ-1 scaffold00010, whole genome shotgun sequence.
GCCCGGUUAGCUCAAUCGGUAGAGCGUGAGACUCUUACGAGUACACGGUAAUCUCAAGGUUGCGGGUUCGACCCCCGCAUCGGGCU